UUUAAGUGCAAUCAUAAGUUUAGUUUUCGUGUCCAACUUUAAUUGUCCGUCUUAUUUAAUUUUUUUAAUAAUUAGUAUUUCGUUGUUAUGAGAUAAUAAAACAUGAAUAGUACUUUACAUGUGACUUAUGUUUUUAUUUUUAAAAAAAAUUAAAUAAGACGAACGGUCAAAAUCGUGCACGGAAAAUCAUAACCGCACUUAAA
rfam:Oryza glumipatula chromosome 7, whole genome shotgun sequence.